rnacentral:lncRNA from 1 species
UCUAUUUUCUAGGGUUGCAACAAUAAAUAUAUAAACAAUUUUUUCCCUAUUUUCUAUUCUUCCAUCAUCCCCACCUAUGAACAUGAACCCUAAACCCUUCGUACGACCACAAGAACAACAUCAGCACAACAAUACUAGCAAACCUUAACCCUCUUUUCUAUUCCUCCAACAAGACGACUGUAACACCUCGAAAAUUGGCGUCCUAUAAAGUAAUGACACGUGUCAUAAGUUUGCACGUGGAGCAACGACAAAAAGAUCAAGACGACAAGUAUACCAGCGAAGAAUAGUAAAUACUACCAUGGAUCCAAGCAACCCGAACAACCCGCCACAAACCCCAU